GUGCUCACUUCAGCAGCACAUAUACUAAAAUUGGAACAAUAUAGAGAAGAUGAGCAUGGCAAGUGUGCAAGGAUGACAAGCAAAUUCAUGAAGCAUUCCAUUAAAAAUUUUU
ensembl:snRNA U6 U6 spliceosomal RNA